AUCGCAAUAAGAGACGCCACGAGCAUUUUUUGACCUAGUUAUACAACGUUGCAUACAAUACUUUUUCUACGACGACGUCAUUUUUCCUUUUUAUUUUAUACUUUUUAGUGUUUUGAAACGAAACACAAAAAUUUUCCAAUUUAUUUUCCAACGCGCGGGAAAAUGGCGGCAAAUGUAUACUUUUUUUAUAGUAUAUCUAUGGCACCAAACAAAGUAAAGGUGCCAGUUUCCAGGUCAAAAAAAAAAAAACAACAACAAUGCUUUUUUGGCGACA